rnacentral:misc_RNA from 1 species
GAUGAAGAACGUAGCGAAAUGCGAUAAGUAGUGUGAAUUGCAGAAUUCAGUGAAUCAUCGAAUCUUUGAACGCACAUUGCGCCUUCUGGUAUUCCGGGAGGCAUGCCUGUUCGAGCGUCAUCAAAACCCCUCAAGCUUGAAUUUAUUCAUCACUUGGUAUUGGAUUUUGGAGUCCCUUCGUGUGGAUUCCUAUCCGAAAUUAAAUGGCGAAGUUGCCAGCACCAAUAUGCGUAGUAAUCAACAUUUUGUUUCCGCUAUUGUACUUGCAAUCUGCUGCCGUUAACCCCCCAUUCUAAGAUUUUGACCUCGGAUCAGGUAGGGAUACCCGCUGAACUUAAGCAUAUCAAUAAGCGGAGGA